GCUGUGGGGUGUCGGCGAGGGCACGGCUAGUAGUGGGGGUUGUAGGUUCUUGGCCUCAAAGCCGCGCCAGGACGGCAGAGGAGGAGAGGGGGUGUAAAGCCUACAGGAAAAAUCCCGGCUCCAGAUGGGCUUCUCUAAAAUCGUCCUCCAAGGGGAGGGGACAGCACGGCCUAAUUUUAGGCAGAGUGCCCUAGUAUUACUGUGGAUGUACAGGUUAGUCGGGAGGGAGAAUAAAGGCUGGAGCUGAAGCAUUCUAGUCGAGGAGGAAAGUCUGCGCUGGCAUAUUCACCUGGGAGCAACAGAUGGGUGAUCUCUGGUUCGCUCAUAACUGGUGCUCUGAGAAACAGAGAAUUGGACAAAAUUCCCAUCCUGUGGAGCUUACAGUCAGAAAAAUCCUCUACACACAAAGCAGGCUGACAGAAUAGCAGCUGAUCUGCAGCCCCAGGAGUGCAGGUCUUUGCCAGAUGAACCAGGUACUCUUCAAUCUCGGAAGCCUCUCAUCAUCUCACAAUGAUACUGUUGUAUCAAAAAUGCACAGUAAGAAGCAGACUCCAGAAAAAUACUAUGUUGGAAUUGACGUUGGCUCAGCAAGUGUCCGUGCAGCAUUGGUCGAUGGGCUUGGGACAGUGGUGGCACAUGCAGAGCACCCAAUCCAAAUUUGGGAGCCCCAGCCAGACCACUACGAGCAAUCCUCUACAGACAUAUGGGCUGCUUGCUGCUCAGUCACAAAGAAAGUCGUCUCUGGAGUAGAUGCUAGCCACAUUCGAGGAGUUGGGUUUGAUGCUACAUGUUCCCUUGUUGUUAUGGAUAAACAAUUCCAGCCUUUGGCAGUCAACAGUGAAGGCCAAAACUAUAGGAAUGUCAUUAUGUGGAUGGACCAUCGUGCAGUCAGUCAAGUUGAGCGCAUCAAUGCAACACAACACAGGGUUUUGAGCUAUGUAGGGGGAGUGAUGUCUGUGGAAAUGCAGCCACCUAAAUUGCUGUGGAUAAAGGAGAACCUGCAAGAAUCAUGCUGGGAGAAGGCAGGCCACUUCUUUGAUCUUCCAGAUUUCUUAUCUUGGAAAGCCACAGGUGUCACUGCAAGGUCCCUCUGUACAGUAGUGUGCAAGUGGACGUAUACCUCAGAUAAAGGUUGGGAUGACAGUUUCUGGAAAAUGAUUGGUUUGGAAGAUUUGGUAGAGGAUAAGUAUGAAAAAAUAGGAAACCACGUCUUGUCUCCUGGAGAGUCUGUUGGAAAAGGUCUAACACCAGAAGCUGCAAAAGAUCUGGGUCUUCCUGAAGGGAUUGCGGUAGCAGCAUCUCUCAUUGAUGCCCAUGCUGGAGGACUAGGAGUAAUUGGAGCAGAUGUGAAAGGACAUAACCUGCCAUGUGAGAACCAGCCAAUUACAUCCCGGGUUGCUAUGAUCUGUGGAACAUCUUCAUGCCACAUGGGGGUCAGUGAAACACCCAUUUUUGUGCCUGGUGUCUGGGGACCUUAUUUCUCUGCCAUGGUACCUGGACUGUGGUUGAAUGAGGGAGGCCAAAGUGCUACAGGCAAGCUGAUAGAUCAUGUGGUCCGAGGCCAUGUCGCCUUCCCGGAAUUACAGGCAAAAGCUGCAGCCAGUGCUCACAGUAUAUAUACAUACUUGAACAGUCACCUGGAUCUGAUUAAGAAAUCUUUGCCUGUGGGUUUCCUCACUGUUGAUUUACAUGUUUGGCCAGAUUUCCAUGGCAACAGAUCUCCCUUAACAGAUCUGACACUAAAGGGCAUGGUUGUUGGACUAACAUUGUCUCAGGGUCUGGAUGAACUUGCCCUUAUCUACUUGGCCACGAUUCAAGCCAUUGCUUUAGGAACAAGACAUAUUUUGGAAACUAUGCAGGCUGCAGGGCAUCAUAUCAACACGCUGUUCCUGUGCGGUGGGCUGAGCAAGAACCCUCUCUUUGUGCAGAUGCAUGCUGACAUUACUGGCAAGCCUGUUGUCCUGUCCAAAGAAGUGGAGUCUGUGUUGGUGGGUGCUGCUAUUCUUGGAGCCUGUGCUUCUGGGGAUUUUGCAUCUAUACAGCGGGAUUGCUCAGGAGAAUGUACAGAAAAUCAGAACCUCACAGGGAUCAGGAAAGGAACUAAAUAAUUCCAUCCUCUCCCUUCCACAUGUGAAUCUAUCCCAGAGACUCCUUCUGCAGGGAAUUCUGCUGCAUCCCUUUGUCUGACUUGGCUUUGGCCAAAAGCAGAGUAGGAUCAAAGAGGCCAUGGCGAAAAUGGGGAAAGUUGGGAGAGUUGUGCAGCCCAACCAUGAGCAUAAAAGGUAAUCCUGACUUUUGUGGGGUCCUCUGUGAGGAUUUAUGGCGUGUGAAGUUAAGGCCUGUCUCUUUAUAGCCCUGACUGGAUGCAGUAGUAGUUAUCACCCCCAUUUUUGAAGGAUUACCAUGGAAUCUGACUGGUUUGGGUUGAAAAGGACCUUAAAGCUCAUCCAAUUCC